rnacentral:rRNA from 1 species
UAGGGAAUCUUCCACAAUGGGCGCAAGCCUGAUGGAGCGACGCCGCGUGAGUGAGGAAGGUCUUCGGAUCGUAAAGCUCUGUUGUUAGGGAAGAAGAAGCGCCGUUCGAACAGGGCGGCGCGGUGACGGUACCUAACGAGAAAGCCCCGGCUAACUACGUGCCAGCAGCCGCGGUAAUACGUAGGGGGCGAGGCGUUGUCCGGAAUUAUUGGGCGUAAAGGGCGCGCAGGCGGCCCCUUAAGUCAGUUGUGAAAGGUCCCGGCUCAAGCCGGGGAGCUGCAGCUGAAACUGGGGCGUUGAGUGCAGGAGAGGAGAGCGGAAUUCUCGGUGUAGCGGUGGAAUGCGUAGAGAUCGGGAGGAACACCAGUGGCGAAGGCGGCCAUCUGGACCAGCACUGACGCUGAGGCACGAAAGCGUGGGGGAGCGAACAGGAUUAGAUACCC